UCGACUACAUGAAGCUGGAAUCGCUAGUAAUCGUAGAUCAGCAUGCUACGGUGAAUACGUUCCCGGGUCUUGUACACACCGCCCGUCACACCACGAGAGUUUGUAACACCCGAAGCCGGUGGAGUAACCUUUUAGGAGCUAGCCGUCGAAGGUGGGACAAAUGAUUGGGGUGAAGUCGUAACAAGGUAGCCGUAUCGGAAGGUGCGGCUGGAUCACCUCCUUU
rnacentral:rRNA from 1 species